rnacentral:rRNA from 1 species
UACGGUAGGGUGCAAGCGUUGUCCGGAAUUAUUGGGCGAAAGAGCUCGUAGGCGGUCUGUCGCGUCGGAUGUGAAAGCCCGGGGCUUUAACCCCGGGUCUGCAUUCGAUACGGGCAGACUAGAGUGUGGUAGGGGAGAUCGAAUUCCUGGUGUAGCGGUGAAAUGCGCAGAUAUCAGGAGGAACACCGGUGGCGAAGGCGGAUCUCUGGGCCAUUACUGACGCUGAGGAGCGAAAGCGUGGGGAGCGAACAGG